rfam:Parcubacteria bacterium GW2011_GWA2_43_9b TW11_C0020, whole genome shotgun sequence.
CGGGCCGUAGUGUAAUGGCUAGCACGAGUGCUUUGGGAGCACUUAGUCGGAGUUCGAAUCCCCGCGGCCCGA